UACGGGGGGGGUAAGCGUUGUUCGGAAUUACUGGGCGUAAAGGGCGCGUAGGCGGCCAUGCGUGUCUCCCGUGAAAUCCCUCGGCUCAACCGAGGACGUGCGGAAGAAACUGCAAGGCUCGAGUCCGGAAGAGGGGGGCGGAAUUCCCAGUGUAGCGGUGAAAUGCGUAGAUAUUGGGAGGAACACCAGUGGCGAAGGCGGUCCCCUGGGCCGGAACUGACGCUGAGGCGCGAAAGCGUGGGUAGCAAACGGG
rnacentral:rRNA from 1 species